rnacentral:rRNA from 1 species
GGGCCCGCACAAGCGGUGGAGUAUGUGGUUUAAUUCGAUGCAACGCGAAGAACCUUACCAGGGUUUGACAUCCUGCGAAUCUCUUGGAAACGAGAGAGUGCCUUCGGGAGCGCAGUGACAGGUGGUGCAUGGCUGUCGUCAGCUCGUGUCGUGAGAUGUUGGGUUAAGUCCCGCAACGAGCGCAACCCACGUCUUUAGUUGCCAGCAUUUAGUUGGGCACUCUAGAGAGACCGCCGGUGAUAAACCGGAGGAAGGUGUGGAUGACGUCAAGUCAUCAUGCCCCUUACAUCCUGGGCUACACACGUACUACAAUGCUACGGACAAAGAGCAGCAAGUUCGCGAGGACAAGCAAAUCUCAUAAACCGUGGCUCAGUUCAGAUCGUAGGCUGCAACUCGCCUACGUGAAGGAGGAAUCGCUAGUAAUCG